GCCUGAGCGGGGCGAAGCCAGAGGAAACUCUGGUGGAGGCUCGAAGCGAUACUGACGUGCAAAUCGUUCGUCUGACUUGGGUAUAGGGGCGAAAGACUAAUCGAACCAUCUAAUAGCUGGUUCCCUCCGAAGUUUCCCUCAGGAUAGCUGGAGCCCAUUACGAGUUCUAUCAGGUAAAGCCAAUGAUUAGAGGCAUUGGGGACGCAACGUCCUCGACCUAUUCUCAAACUUUAAAUAGGUAGGAUGGCUCGGCUG
rnacentral:ncRNA from 1 species